UUGAGGACACACCCACAGUCAGGAGAAUCUCAUGAAUAUUCAUGUCAGUGUCACUCUGUGAGCCAGUAAUAUUUCAGGAUAUACCUGUAGAUCACACAGGUGUGUUUUAGUGAAGUGAAAGAGUCAAAGAGCUCAGAUUGUGUUCCUGCUGCACAAGAGCGUCUGUACUUCUGCAUGUGAUGGUCAGCGGCUGAUUGUUUCCUGAAAGCUCUGCUAAUGUCUGCAUUGGUGUUUUAGCUGCAGUAUGGCAGAGGAGCGAGUAAAGGACUCUCUCUCAGAGAUACACAGGGUGAGAUCAAGAUCACGUGUGUCCAGCUCUGUGUUUCUAUUGAAUGACUGCUCAAAACUUCAUCAAAACAUUCGCUCAAAACAUCAU